UAUUUUCAGCAUUGGAUGACAUAAUGACAUUUCACUGUUCAAGCUUUUUAAUGAUACAUACUGAAGAAAGAAGAUAAUUUUUGUCGCUUGGACAAGUUAGCAUCAUUUCAUGAUUACUGCUAUAGGAAACUGAUGAGAAAUUAAGAAGAUCAGAGAAGGAUCCAAGAGUGAAUAUGUAUUCUUAAAUCAAUUUUAGGUUUUUAGAAACAACACCUUUGCAGAUGCAGACAUGUGGCAAUCAG
rnacentral:lncRNA from 1 species